AUGCAUCUGAAGAGUCCCAAAUAAGAUGAAACGUGCGUCUUGGAU
rnacentral:hammerhead_ribozyme from 1 species